ACUCCAACAUCAGAUCAGCUCAGCUCCACAGACACAUGGAGGAACAAGAGGUUAUCGAGUACGCUGCUGUUAACUUUAACAGAGCUGGUACUGCCCCGAGAACCAGAGGUCAGGAAACUGGGGAAGAUCCAUCUGCACUGUACAGCACAGUCAACAAAACCUUAUGAACACAUCAGCAAUCUCAUAUCUGAUAUUGUAAUGUUUUUUUUAAUCUGCAGGUCAUUUUAAAAUACACAUACAUAUAACUCAGGGUGAACGUAUCCAAGAAUGCAUCAUAGAGACAAAUGAAUAUUUUAGAGUAAUUUAAAUUGACAGUUUAGCUGUUUAACUGUUAAUGUAAAUUUCCAUUGAGACAUACUUUCUGUAUUUCUUAAUUUCUUUGAGGAUGCUUCACAACAUUGUAAGAAGUAAAUAUUUGCAUUGACAUGAUGUUGAUGCAAAAGUUUACUGCUGUUGCCAAGUAAGUGUUGAUAUCUUUGAUGUAAAUUUAAAUCCACUUAUUUUAUUGUAUUAAUGUUGUACAUUUUUAUUAUUUUAUGCUUAUAAUACAUUUUGUCUUUAAAACAAUAUUUAAUCUAGUUUUAUUUCACUUACUAUGAUUGCUUUUUCAUUUUCAUAAUCUGUAUUUCUGGUAUAAAUUAGUCCCAAAUUGAUUUUCUUCACUGUCUACAUUUGUUCUGCCUUAUUAUCGGCUUGUCAGUCAUCUGUGAAGCACUUUGAAUUGCACCAACCUGUAUGAAAUGUGCUACACAAAUAAAGUUUGAUUGAAAUUAGUCUGCUAGCUGACUGGAGG